rnacentral:misc_RNA from 1 species
GAUGAAGAACGCAGCGAAAUGCGAUAAGUAAUGUGAAUUGCAGAAUUCAGUGAAUCAUCGAAUCUUUGAACGCACAUUGCGCCCGCUAGUGUUCUGGCGGGCAUGCCUGUCCGAGCGUCAUUUCAACCCUCAAGCCCCCGGGCUUGGUGUUGGGGAUCGGCGAGCCUCCGCGCCCGCCGUCCCCUAAAUCUAGUGGCGGUCUCGCUGUAGCUUCCUCUGCGUAGUAGCACACCUCGCACUGGGAAACAGCGCGGCCACGCCGUUAAACCCCCAACUUCUGAACGUUUGACCUCGGAUCAGGUAGGAAUACCCGCUGAACUUAAGCAUAUCAAUAAGCGGAGGA